rnacentral:lncRNA from 1 species
CUAAAACAUAAAUUUUUUGCGAAGGUCAAAUUCAACAGUUUUUUUCAAAAGUUGAUCAUCUGUUCUGUUAUAAUUUGUGAAAAAUACUGUGUGUUAGUUUUUCACAAUAAAACAUGACAAAAUCUUUUGAACUUGGUGUUUUUGAUGGAAAAGGGGAUUUUCCCAUUUGACAACAAAAAAUGCGAGGUGUUUUAGUUCAGCAAAAAGUUUCUAAAGCAAUAACAGAUGAAUUUCCUGAUACCAUGACAGAUGAUCAAAAGGAAGAAUCUGAUGAACUUGCUUAUACCUCCAUUAUUUUGCAUUUAUC